rnacentral:lncRNA from 1 species
CCCACCCAGUGCCUUGGAGAUAUUAACUUUCUCAUGCAACAGUGGCUUAAGCGGUAGAGACAAAUAAUACUUAUUGCUAUAAUACGGAAAGGUAUUGUAUUGCAACUUGGUAAUAUUUAUUUCCUUGAACCGUUCUAUCAUGAAAACUGCACAGAGCCAUGUGGGGGAUUUGAAGAGACUUGUUCUCCUUGGUUAAAUGACUGAACUGACAUAAUGCUGCUUCCAAACGCUUUUUAGGUAAAAAGAGAAAUUUGCUGCGGCGUACUGCAAGCAACUGUGCCAGCAGCAGGGCCAGCGGUGCCGGGACUGGUCUUCUCGGCUACUGUGCACUCCUGGGAUACUGGGCCCUUCAGCUUUAGCGACGCUAUUGAAUUGUCAGUCUUGCAAACGGGAACUGAAUUUGUCCUUUUUAUCAUGUGUAAGGGUGGGAUCUUGGAGACAGUUCAGCUUUCUAACCAAGUUUAAAAAAAAAAAGCACAUUAAAAGAAAAAAUUUUAGUUUAUCUAGUGAAGUGAAGUUUAUCUGUGAGCACUCACAGUGCUCAGAGGUGGUCAGCACAGCUCCCCCGUCAUCCGAAUCCAACAACACAAACCGCACCAAAGCCUCUGCUCAGCUCACCCCAGGGCACUCUGGAAAUUACAGCACAGGUAAGGGUGGUGUUCUACCAAAACCAAAAAGUUUUGCCUGCUUUUCCUUAUUUAAGCAUACCCACUGACUUAUGUGAUUAAUAGCAAUAUUUCCUUUUAUAAAUUUAUUUUAUGUUCAAGAAAAAGUAGUCCUAUUAAUAUUUUUUCAUAAGAAAUCGUGCCUAUGUUUAUAUGUUACAUGAGGCAGAUGUUGGGCUUAAAGCUUAGUUCUUGCUUAAGAGAGCUCUUUCAGUCCACUAAAAGUGGCUGAUCAGUGUGCCCCAGUUGAAUCAUUUUUUUCCCCUCUGUUGUCUUGACCCAUUGAUUUAAUUAAAGUCUAAUAAAGAGAAGGCUGAAAGAUUGUUAAGUUUUUUU